UGACAAAUAACAUUUGAUGUGUAGGUCUGAAGAGAAAGCAUUUUUUUCCUUCAACUUGAACCUUUUUGGGCUGAGAUUUUCUCACCAGAGUCUGUAUUAUUUUUCCUAUGGGCAACUGUCCCCUUGAUUAAUCCCAUUUCCCUUAGUCCUAGUUUUCCCAGGCAGCUGAGCAAACAAAGAUGCAGGCAGCCAUUUUAACGCGUUUCCUGCCUGGGCCUGUGGGGAGGGCUGCGUCCAUCCUGUUCAUAAACCAAGGCCCAAGUGGGACUGGAGUGAGCAGGAGGAUCUUCUGUCGGGGAUUAAUUUUAAUAGGCUACAGUCUGUCACCCGGGAACGAUAGCCCUGCCAGGCCUUCGUCAGUUAUGUGUGAAGCUCGGUGAAGAAGAACACACACAUAUCUGAGUAACAGUGGCCCACAGGAGAAGUGAGGAAGCCGUGGCACUUGUCUUUUUCCACAUAAAUUCAGCGACAGCAGCCUGGAGGACCGAUGGGGAGGAGAAGUUUUGUAAAAUGGUACACAGAUGUCAGCCAGUAUUCUUCAAUUAAGUCUUAGGUACACCACUGUUCAUUAAUUUUUCAUUAGUUCUGAUUGUUUUGAUUUAUUUGAAAAUCCAGCAUGCUCCAUUUCCAAAUGGAGUCUUUAAAAAAAAUCAUGAAAGAAAAUU
rnacentral:lncRNA from 1 species